GGCUAGUUAGCUCAGUGGUUAGAGCACCUGUUAUAUUUGCACAGAGGUCAUUGGUUCAAUCCCAAUACUGCCCG